rnacentral:rRNA from 1 species
AGUGAACGCUGGCGGUAGGCCUAACACAUGCAAGUCGAACGGCAGCACAGUAAGAGCUUGCUCUUACGGGUGGCGAGUGGCGGACGGGUGAGGAAUACAUCGGAAUCUACUUUUUCGUGGGGGAUAACGUAGGGAAACUUACGCUAAUACCGCAUACGACCUACGGGUGAAAGCAGGGGAUCUUCGGACCUUGCGCGAUUGAAUGAGCCGAUGUCGGAUUAGCUAGUUGGCGGGGUAAAGGCCCACCAAGGCGACGAUCCGUAGCUGGUCUGAGAGGAUGAUCAGCCACACUGGAACGGAGACACGGUCCAGACGCCUACGGGAGGCAGCAGUGGGGAAUAUUGGACAAUGGGCGCAAGCCUGAUCCAGCCAUCCCGCGUGGGUGAAGAAGGCCUUCGGGUUGUAAAGCCCUUUUGUUGGGUAAGAAAAGCAGCAGGUUAAUACCCCGCUGUUCUGACGGUACCCAAAGAAUAAGCACCGGCUAACUUCGUG